UUGCCGAGCUGAGAGAGGAAGACCAAUCAGAGCACCCGAAAGGCGGGAACAGAGGCUCGUUUGCCGCACUGAAAGCGGAAGUAUUAAUUCUGCCGCCUCUCGUUGGCUCGAGUAAGUCAGGUGACCAAAGGCUAAAGCCAAUGGCAGGAUCUGGGGCUGGUCCGGAAACGUCUGUUCUGGACUCCUAACCUGGGGUAGGUACGUGGGAGUGUCGCGUAAUUCGCGUCCACAGAGCGGUGAAAAGGGAAGUGUCGAGGCUGUAGGGGGUCCUGAGUCCGCGCUGCGGUUCAGCGGGGUUAGGACGCACAGGUGUCAAAGGCCCUCCGAGAAAGGGAGGCGCUGGCCUAGGGGCUGAGGGUACUGCGAACCUGGAAUCACCGCGUUUCCCGCUGCUCUGUCCGGCCCCGCCAGGCCCAGUAAAGAGCAAAGCAAAACUUCCCUACCGAAAGAGGAAAGAUCCCUGCCGGGAAAUCUGGGACUUUACCGGCUCAUGGGACUAUGUGUGUGACCUUCAGCCCGUUGUUCAACUUCUCCCCUAGCUUCUGUAAAAUCUUUGGCUUGGAUUCAAAAGGUGGUUUGCAUCCCUGGCUACCCAUGAAUAUCCUGGAGGGAGAAUGAGGGGUUGCAGCUUUAAGAGAAAAUAACCCUGCGACAGAUACCCUCAAAGAUUCUGACUUAACAGAUCUAGGCCCCAUAAGGCGGCUGUGUAGGGCAGUGGCUAACGUGUGUGCCCAGGCAUCCCACAAACUUGGGUUUAAAUCUUAGCUCUGGUACUGAUUGAGGCCUAGGGGUGGUGUUUUUAGAAGUUCUACAGGGGAUUCUAUUUAUUUAUUAAUUUGUUUGUUUGUUUGUUUGUUUGUUUGUUUGAAGUAGGCUGCACACCAUCAUGGGGCUUGAACUCACACAACCAUGAGAUCAAGAGUCGCAUGCUCUACUGACUGAGCCAGCCAGCCGCCCCUCUACAGGUGAUUCCUACUGUGAGGCUAGGCUGAGGACUACUGCACUAAAUGAUAUGGAUGAUAGCUACCAUUUAUUUGGCAUCCAGAACCAUUACAUUGAUGGAUGUUUUACACUCAGUAUAAACAAUCCUCAUGAUUGUUCUGGGAGUUAAGUAUGUCCCUUUUUACAUAUGUAAAACCCAAGUCCCGGAAGUGGCUUGCCCAAAUUAACGUGACCUCUAAGUGGUUUUGCUGACCAACUGCAGGGCCAAGUGUUUUUCUCCAUCUUUCUCAGGAAAAGAAGAUGGUAAUGAGCCCAGUAGAAGUAACAAGCCCUGUGAUGGGUAAAGCUCCACACAACUCUCAGGGGCCUUUGAUUACCUGCAUCGAGUAUUUCCAUCAAGCACUACAGGCUGCUGAGAAGGCUGUACAUCCUGACAGUAAUAACGGCCACCAUUCAAUGGACACAGAGCUAAGCACUGCCUGCUGUUUGUCCUCCGUAUCUUAUUUAAUCCUCACAACCCACUGAAGGCAUGCUGUUCUCCCAGUUUUAUAAGAAACUGAGGCUCAGAGGGGUUAAACCAUCUGUCCAAGGUCACAGAGGCAGGGAAGGAGUGUGCCCUCCAACACCCUGCCAUGGGGCUGGCAGAGCCUCUGGCAGCCCAUCUGCUCAGGUUUCCAACUCCCAGGCCACACUUGGCUCUUCACAGCUCCAGGAAAGGCUGAAGAGGUCAUCACAUUACCUACCACUUCUCAGGAGAAGGUUCUGAGUGCCAGGCAGGGCUCUGCCAUUGGAUCUCCCUUAACCUCACAAGGACCGGCAAGGCGGGUAUUGCUGACCCCACUUCACAGAUGCGGAAAAGGAGGCUCAGGAAGGUUAAGUGACUUGCCCGGGCUCACAGAGCCAGCCGGUAAGUGGCCACGACCAGGAUCUCAGCCUGGAGUCUGACUCCGUAACUGCGAGGCUCAGGGAAGGGGGGAGCCCGAGUCGCGCUCACUGCGCCAAGGCGGCCAAACUUUCUCUCCCCAGCCCGCGCGCCCCGAGUGGAGGCUCUGGCCCCCAUCCUGCUCCUGGCGGUGGCCACCUCACCGGGGGACCGGCGCGGAUCCCGGAGGUCGCCUCCCACCUCGGACUUCAGACUCCGGCCUCCCACCCACACGUCGCCCAUUGCCUCCCUGCGCGGUCGGCUCCGCCCCGCCCGGGGCCCUCACCAUCGCUGCUGCCGCCGCUGGGCCGGCUCCCGCUCCUCUGUCGCCGAGCGGCCGCGGUGCCACACACCCGGGAGGAAGCGGAGGGGCGGGGCCGCGGCCGCGGGGGCGGGGGGCGCGCCUGCCCCGAGCCCGCACCCGGGCCAACGAAAAGCGAAAGCUGCAGGCGUCCGGCCCAGCUUCGCCUGGCUCCCCAGCCCCCGGAACCGGGCGCCUGCGCCUGAGCAGCCCGGGGCUCGUUCUGCGCUCGGCACCCCCACACGUCGGGGGGCCCAGUGAAAUGGGCUCUGGAGACAGGCAUCGCCCGCAACAAGCAACCGUCCCAGUGCCACAGCGAUGGCGCUGUGCUAGAGACGACGCGGACCGCCAGCCAGGCGGGGUCUCUGCCACCUCGGUGAAUGCAUGCCACCGGUACCCAAAAACCGACUCCGCAAGAAAGUUUUGGAACGAAAGAAAGUUUAUUCACAAUCAACAUUGUGAAUGCACUACCUACCACUGAAUUGUCUACUUUGAAACGGCACCGCUGUGUGUUACAAUUGUACAUACACGUAUACGCUGUAUGUUGUGUGAAUGGCGCCUCGCUUAAAAAAGAAAACGGACCCCCAUGAAGAAGGUGCUAGUUCUGGCUUUUCUGUAUUUCCCUCUUCACCACAAGGGCAGCUGCGGUCCUGCCCUCAUAUGACCCUGCUCCUCCAUCGGAAGAUGGGCGAGGCCACCCCUCCAGAGCCUUCCUGACUCUACCUGUUCUCGCCCUCUCCUCUCACUGCUGCAAACAAGUCACAGCCACCAGUUCUCCACCCCACCCCCUGCCACCCCCAAACACAACUGUGGCUGCUCUUGAGGAAGGAGGUUGAGGGCUUCCCUCCUUGGGUUGAGCCCCUGUGAGCACAGCCCUCAUCCCCACCCUGGGCACUCUGGGUCCCAGGGAAGAGGUUUCACCCCAGUUCUGUGGACCUUGAGUCCAGGAGUGGCCUGAGGAGAGAGGAUAGCUGUAGUCUGACCUAGGAGGACCUAGGAGGACAAAGACAGCCCAGAGGGCUUUUUUUUUUUUUUUCUUUUUCCUCCCUGGCUUUCAGAGUAUGAUUUCAGGACUUGCCAGUAGGAGUCCCAGAUUCUGUCUCCCAAACCUGUUCCUUCUACACCCCCUCCCCAAAACAGGGUUUUUUUUUGUUUUGUUUUGUUUUGUUUUGUUUUGUUUUUUUUAAUACUGGAAAGCCCAGGGGAGAAAUAGGGACAGAGAUGACAAGAACCCUUUCCCCAAAC